GGCUUUGAUGGGGGGAGGGCGAAAUAAGUGGGCGCGGAGGGAGGGAUGUUUACUUACACCUGCAUUUUCUCCGCAAGCCCCCACUCGGCCGAACCGUUUCCCCAAGGUCUGUCCACUUGCUUCUGCUCCCUGCACGGGAAGCGACUCGCUCGCUCGUUAUAUCAUGAAAGAUCCCAGCAUUUUCCCCUGGCUUAGCGUGGGGGACUAGAACCCACAGAGUCCACCCCUCGGGGAAAUCCGAAACUUUCUAUUCCUAUGGAGGAGCUGCUGAGAAGGAUGAUGACGACUGUGAAGAAGAUGGUGGUGACGAAAAGGGGCAAAAAGAGAGGAAUGGAGGAAAAAAACCAGUCGCGUUCAGGAUUGCUUUCCAGAUUCGGAGGAUUGGCUGCCGUUCCUAUCCAUAAUAUAAUUAAAACAAACGAGGGAAAGGGUCCCCCCCUUCCAGCACCGACAGAGGUUAAUGCAAGUAUUUAACAAUGCUUUGCUUUCUGUGGGUAUUCACACGCUCCCUGCCUGAAAUAAGUUUCCCUUCGACUUAAGCAGCUCAACAGAGUAAGUAACCAGAUCUUAUUAACAGCAUGUUAUGUUAUUUUCCCGUUUAGGUUAACAAAGAUAUAAAUAUCUCUUUGCAUUUUUCUUAUUUUGCUAUAAAAUCACUGCUGCCUAUAAUAAUAGUAAUAACUGAUCAAAAUGCCAAGGCAUCAUGAAGAAAACAGGUUUCACUUAGGGAGGGGGAGUAAUUAAAGAAAGGUUUAAAGGCUGCCCGCUGAAAGCCAAGAGAUAUAAAAACUUUUGUGCCUGUGAGAUGUUGAACACAUUCUAACAGGAA
rnacentral:lncRNA from 1 species